GACGAACGCUGGCGGCGUGCUUAACACAUGCCAGUCGAACGGAAAGGCCUGCUUUCCCUUGUGGAUUGCGGGUACUCGAGUGGCGAACGGGUGAGUAACACGUGAGUGAUUUGCCCCCAACUUGGGUAUAAGCCUGGGAAACUGGGUCUAAUUCCCGAUAGGACUGCAGGGUGGUGCCUGUGGUGGAAAACGAUUUUCUAGUGGUUGGGGAUGAGCUCGCGGCCUAUCAGCUUGUUGGUGGGGUAAUGGCCUACCAAGGCGGCGACGGGUAGCCGGCCUGAGAGGGUGGACGGCCACAUUGGGACUGAGAUACGGCCCAGACUCCUACGGGAGGCAGCAGUGGGGAAUAUUGCACAAUGGGCGGAAGCCUGAUGCAGCGACGCCGCGUGGGGGAUGACGGCCUUCGGGUUGUAAACUCCUUUCGACCGCGAGGAAGCCACCUGGUUGGAAGGGUGGUGACGGUAGUGGUAGAAGAAGCACCGGCUAACUACGUG
rnacentral:rRNA from 1 species